UACGUAGGGCGCAAGCGUUAUCCGGAAUUAUUGGGCGUAAAGAGCUCGUAGGCGGCGUGUCGCGUCGGCCGUGAAAACCUGCAGCUUAACUGUGGGCGUGCGGUCGAUACGGGCAUCACUGGAGUUCGGCAGGGGAGACUGGAAUUCCUGGUGUAGCGGUGAAAUGCGCAGAUAUCAGGAGGAACACCGGUGGCGAAGGCGGGUCUCUGGGCCGAUACUGACGCUGAGGAGCGAAAGCGUGGGGAGCGAACAGG
rnacentral:rRNA from 1 species